rfam:Pteropus alecto contig93901, whole genome shotgun sequence.
GUCUUUGGCCAUGCCACCCUGAACAAGCCCGACGUCUGAUCUUGGAAGCUAAGCAGGGUAGGGCCUGGUUAGUACUUGGAUGGGAGACCACCUAGGAAGUCCAGGUGCUGUAGGCA